rnacentral:lncRNA from 1 species
UCCAAUAAUCUUGAAAAGGAUUUGUUCCCUGAUGAGUUGUUAUAAACACAUAAGAAGAAAUCUGGCAUUUUGCUAAUACUCUUCAUUGUUCAUGUUCAGAUUCAAGCUUAUUGCAAUGAAAAAGUAAGGACUUUCAUAAUGUAUAUAUAAGAACCGGAGAAUAUAUGUUACAAGGUAUUUGUUCUUGUAGAGAGCUAGUUGGUGUACAUCAAUUACACUAAAUCUUGCUUACCAUAUACUGUAAUUUUAUUAAGCUUUUUAUUCAUGAUGGUUAUGUGUACGUUGUAUUAAAGUAUGGCUGCAACUUACUUUUAAGAUUGAACAAGUUUGAACAUAGUCAACUGAUAUCAAUUUUGUUGUGCUAGUAGUACCUUGUUAUUUUUAGUUUCUUACUAAAAUU